GGAUGUGAGGGCGAUCUGGUUGUGACAUCUCUCACCCCAUUGAUUGCCAGGGUUGAUUCAGCUGAUCUGGAUGGCUAGGCGGGUGUCCCCUUCUUCCCUCACCACUCCACGUGCAUUUCUCCCAAAGCUGCACACUUGGUGGAAGAGGAUGACCAUCCCCGAUAAAGAAGGACUGGUCUUUGGUAAAGGGUAUAAGAGUAGCUGUGCUCCCCUUUUAGAACCUCCAAAUAAGCUCCCUUUGUAAUGUUAUGCAGACUCAAUUCAGUGUCAUCUCCAGUCCUAUUUGAUGUCUGGUGGUU
rnacentral:snRNA from 1 species